rnacentral:rRNA from 1 species
UGAGGAAUAUUGGGUCAAUGGACGCAAGUCUGAACCAGCCAUGCCGCGUGAAGGAAUAAGGCCCUAUGGGUCGUAAACUUCUUUUGUAUGUGAGCAAUAAGGUCCACGUGUGGACCGAUGAGAGUAGCAUACGAAUAAGCAUCGGCUAACUCCGUGCCAGCAGCCGCGGUAAUACGGAGGAUGCAAGCGUUAUCCGGAUUCAUUGGGUUUAAAGGGUGCGUAGGCGGCUUGGUAAGUCAGCGGUGAAAUUCCAGUGCUCAACAUUGGCCGUGCCGUUGAUACUGCUGGGCUUGAAUGCGGAUGCCGUGGGAGGAAUGU